rnacentral:rRNA from 1 species
AGUAGUCAUAUGCUUGUCUCAAAGAUUAAGCCAUGCAUGUGCCAGUGUAAGCUUCAGCAUGGCCAGACUGUGAAUGGCUCAUUACAACAGUUGUAGCUUAUGUGGUGGUCUGUCUACAUGGAUAACCGUGUUAAUUCUAGAACUAAUACAUGUUCAAUUGCCCGACUCAGUGGUAGGGUGGUGGUUAUUUGCAACAGAACCAGUCCAGGCAAUCCCUGGCUCAUCGGUGAAUCAUAAUAAUUUGGAUAUAUUGUAUGGCAUCCGCAGAUAGUGUUUCAUUGAAGCUUCUGACCUAUCAGCUUCCGAUGGUUGGGCAUUUGCCUACCCUGGCAAUGACGGGUAACGGAGAAUUAGGGUUUGACACCGGAGAGGGAGCCUGAGAAGUGGCUACUACAUCUAAGGAAGGCAGCAGGCGCGCAAAUUACCCAAUCUUGACACAGAGAGGUAGUGACUAGGAAUACCAAUACUGGGCAUCUAUGUCUUGUAAUUGGCAUGAGUAGAAUAUGAAGCCUUCUAUGAGUACCGAUUGGAGGGCAAGUCUGGUGCCAGCAGCCGCGGUAAUUCCAGCUCCAACAGUGUAUAUUAAAGUUGUUGCGGUUAAAAAGCUCGUAGUUGGGAGUCUGCCAAGGACAACCGGUCCACCCUUGGGGUGCGUAUCUGGUUUGACCAGGGGUAUAUUCUUGGGCAGCGUAGCUGCACUUGAUUGUGUGAUGCGAUAUCCAAGACAUUUACUUUGAGGAAAUUAGUGUGUUUCAUGCAGGCCCACGCCUUGGAUACCUUAGCAUGGAAUAAUAGCAUAGGGCCUUGGUUCCAUCUUGUUGGCUUCUAGAAUCGAGUUAAUGACAAAUAGGGAUACUUGGGGGCAUGCGAAUUUGAUUGUCAGAGGUGAAAUUCUUGAAUUUGUCAAAGGCGGACUAGUGUGAAAGCAUUUGCCAAGAAUGUUCUCAUUGAUCAAGAAUGAAAGUUAGGGGGUCGAAGAUGAUCAGAUACCGUCUUAGUCUUAACCAUAAACUAUGCCAACUAGAGAUUGGGGGCUGCUGUCUUUACGACUCCUUCAGCACCUUCUGGGAAAUCAAAGUCUUUGGGUUCCGGGGGGAGUAUGGCUGCAAGGCUGAAACUUAAAGGAAUUGACGGAAGGGCACCACCAGGAGUGGAGCCUGCGGCUUAAUUUGACUCAACACGGGGAAACUUACCAGGUCCAGACAUAGAAAGGAUUGACAGAUUGAUAGCUCCUUCUUGAUCAUGUGGGUGGUGGUGCAUGGCCGUUCUUAGUUGGUGGAAUGAUUUGUCUGGUUAAUUCCGUUAACGAACGAGACCUUAUCCUGCUAAAUAGAUUUGCAUAGCCAUGGUUGUGGGGGGACCUUCUUAGAGGGACUUUGUAUGUGUAAAGCAAGGAAGCUUGAGGCAAUAACAGGUCUGUGAUGCCCUUAGAUGUUCUGGGCUGCACGCGCGCUACACUGAUGCUCUCAACAAGUGCGUAACACUGCCUGAAUGGGUUGGGUAAUCUUUUGAAAGCGCAUCAUGAUAGGGAUCGACCAUUGCAACUGUUAGUCUUCAACAAGGAAUUCCUAGUAAAUGUGAGUCAUCAACUCGUGCUGACUACGUCCCUGCCCUUUGUACACACCGCCCGUCGCUCCUACUGAUUGAGUGAUCCGGUGAAUAUUUUGGACUGCAGCAUCGCUCAGGUCCUGGGUUUUGCAGCAUCAAGUUUAAUGAACCUUAUCACUUAGAGGAAGGAGAAGUCGUAACAAGGUUUCCG